UGCGUAUAUAAGCGUGCGCGAGCUGCUCGAUUCCAGUCUGACGCAGCUGUCGGAGGCAACAUGUCUGGUCGUGGCAAGGGAGGCAAGGGGCUUGGUAAAGGGGGCGCCAAGCGGCACAGGAAGGUUCUCCGGGAUAACAUCCAGGGCAUCACUAAGCCCGCUAUCCGCCGUCUGGCUCGGCGUGGGGGCGUCAAGCGUAUCUCGGGUCUCAUCUACGAGGAGACCCGCGGGGUGCUGAAGGUGUUCCUGGAGAACGUGAUCCGGGACGCCGUCACCUACACCGAGCACGCCAAGAGGAAGACGGUCACCGCCAUGGACGUGGUCUACGCCCUUAAGCGCCAGGGCCGCACUCUCUACGGCUUCGGCGGCUAAAUCUGCAGCAUUUUAGCUGGCCAGCCUGCCACGGAAAACCAAAGGCCCUUUUCAGGGCCAACCACAUUCUUUUAAAAGAGCUGAAUGCUGAUGCAAAGGCUAGAUUUCCAAGCAGUAGGUGGGCUAAUUGACUAUUGGUAGAACUCUUGGUCUCUAACCAGUCAUCUCGUGAGCCAAGAAACUGGCUGAAUCGCUAAAUUCUCGAUGAAAGCGUCCUGAUCUAAACCGGCUCAAGCUGGCUAGGGUCAAUGAGCAUUUUUUUAGGUAAGCGUAUUUGGGGGAACUGGUGGGCAAGUAAUAUGGUUUUUUAAGACAAUCUGCCGAAAUAUGUAAAUCCUUGAUCCUCGGUUUUGUUUCCCGAGAAAUAAUGCAACUCUAAAGUAACUUUAGAAAUUGUAUAGUUGGCUCAUUUCUAAUUGAUCCAUUAUCAUCCCACCCACCAUAUAAGGAAAAGUAACAGCAAGAACCAAUCUGGACUAAAAGCUUUGUAUAAGGGGGUUUGGGGAAGGGGUUGGGCAGUGCUUGUUUAUUUAAUCACUCUACUGUAAUCUCGGCUUUUCCUCAUUCUGGAUUUCCGCUUCUCUGGAGAUUUUAAUAAAAACUUUCUACCUUCACUUUGAGAGGUCUCUAAGUAGUCAAUUUUGAGUUAGGGUCUCCCUACUCCAUACAGUUUGGGGGUAUCACGUGACUCCGGGAUCACCUGGAUCGGCAGAACGACCAUCCCCCCAUUUGCAAGCAGGAGACCUUGGGACUCUGUUCCUGCGGUCUCCGGAGCGGAGGGGUGUUUCUCCUCUCUAUUGCAGCAAAGUGCCCAAAGAGAAGGGACUCGGUGAAGGAGAAAGUGAAAGUCACUGAUCCAAAGCUCUGUGUUUAAAUGUUGAUUGAUCUUGCAGUCAGGAAAACUUAAGGGACUCGGUGAAGGAGAAAGUGAAAGUCACUGAUCCAAAGCUCUGUGUUUAAAUGUUGAUUGAUCUUGCAGUCAGGAAAACUUAACACUCUUGUAACCAGAAGGUAAGCACUCGGAAGUUUGGGGAUCAAUUGGCUGGAUCUAGGGAGAGCCUCUCGCGUAAAUUGUGUGGUGAAAUGGACUGCAAACGACCCUACGGGGGGAGGGAAAGAACUCUCCGAGAACCUAUCAAGUGACUGCCCUGUUGGGAUAAUUUGGAAUGCAGAGGAAUCUAAGGACGGUCCUUGUCAAAUUAUGGGGAAAGCGCAGUCCAAAACCCCAAAUCAGGAACAAUGUGAGGAAGUCCAGAUUAAGAGCCCCCUGGAGAAUAGGGUACAGAACUGGAAUGAGUUACCAAAAUAUAACGGAAAAGAAAAGAAAAUGAUAAAAUAUUGUUAUUUUGUAUGGGGUGGCAAAGGAGUAAUUUGGCCAAGAUAUGGAUCCACUGAGGGUUGGGUAUGCUAACAAUUGAAUUUACAUGUAAAUGAAAAAGAUCCCUUUAAUCCGGAGGAAGCAAUUUAUGCAAGUCUCUGGCUUUCCUGGACAGAGAUGCCUUUAUUUUAGAGUCAAAAGAAGGAGGUGAAUAAGCCACCGGUGACAAAGCUGGAGAUUCCACCUCACCCCUGGGAUGCCCCGCUUGUCAUCCCGCCUCCUUGUACUCUGCCAUCCCCAGCACCUCCAGUGGCAGCAGGGCUCCCCCAGGCUCCCCCACUGAAGCAAUCUGGACCAACUGAGCCCCCUCUUAAUGAUCUGGGGACCCUGGGAGUCGCAGAAACUAGGGAAGGACACAUUGAGGAAAGAAUGAGGAGGAAAUUGGAACAACGGAGGAAAGAUGUAGAAAAUCUUUCCUUUAUAAAGCCUGAUACUGGGAAAAUCAAAAUGUAUCUUCUCAGAGAGGUUUCUUUAGGGAGACCACAAGGGGGAGGGAAUAGGAUUUGUUAAUGCCCCCUUGACCUGGACUUGAUUAGGAACUUCAAAAGGGAUUUAAAAUCUUAUCAUGAAGGGGCCGCAAGGGCCUCCAAACAGUUAAACCAGUUUUGGGGACCAAGUGUUUAUACAUGGAGUGAGCUCUUACAUAUAUUGAACAUGUUAUUCACCCAAGAGGAGAGAGUAGCAAUUAGAAAAGCAGCCAUGGAAAAAUGGGAAAGACAUUACCAGCUCACAGAUGGGGUCAUGACAGCAGAACAAAAGUUUCCCCUUGUUAAUCCAGAGUGGGAUAAUAAUAAUCCCCUCUAUAGACAGAACAUGCAAGAUCUAAGAGAGCUAAUCAUUACUGGGAGUAAGAACUCAUUCCCAAAGCCCAAUAUUAAUAAGGCAUUAGAAAUAAUUAUGCAAGAAAAGGAUCAAUCCCCUUCUAAAUUCUUAGAAUGGCUAAAAGAAGUGAUUCAGGAAUACUCAGAAUUGGAUCCAGAGGAUCUGGUAAGGGAAGGUAUAAUAAAAUUACAUUUUGUUUGCAACUCAUGACCAGACAUUAAUAAAAAGUUGCAGAAAUUAGAAAGAAGGGGUUGCAAGCCCUUAAAGAAAUUACUGGAAGAGGCUACAAAAGUAUAUAAGGGAAGAGAUGAGAGAGAGAGGCAGAGAGAUAAGAGAGUUAAAAAGCUGGUUCAGAUCAUACUGGAAUCAAAGGGAUAUGGGAGAGGGUGGAAUCCUGACUGAGUAAAUGAAAAGUUCUAACAGAAUAAGGGGAGAGCAAGACCCUCCCGAGGUAGGGAGGAAGGGAGACAAAGAGUAAGAGGCCCAUUAACAUGCUGGACUUGUGGGAGAACUGGCCAUCUUUCCAGGAAUUGUCCCCAAUGGAAG
rnacentral:lncRNA from 1 species